rnacentral:rRNA from 1 species
GCGACUUUCGGGCCAGGUGGCGCGGUAAUACGAAGGGGGCAAGCGUUAUUGGGAAUCACUGGGCGGAAAGGGGUCGUAGACGGUAUGUUAAGGUUGUUGUGAAAGGCUCCGGCCUAACUGGAGUAUUGCGAUGAAAACUGGCGUGCUAGAGGGUGAGAGAGAGAAGUGGAAUUCCCGGAGUAGCGGUAAAAUGCGUGGAUCUCGGGAGGAACACCAAUGGCGAAGGCAGCUUCUUGGCUCAUUCCUGACGUUGAGGCACGAAAGCGUGGGGAGCAAACAGGAUUAGAUACCCGAGUAGUC